rnacentral:rRNA from 1 species
CUCCUACGGGAGGCAGCAGUAGGGAAUCUUGCACAAUGAGGGAAACCUUGAUGCAGCGACGCCGCGUGCGGGAAGAAGGCUCUAGGGUUGUAAACCGCUUUCAGUAGGGACGAAAGUGACGGUACCUACAGAAGAAGCCCCGGCCAAAUAUGUGCCAGCAGCCGCGGUGAUACAUAUGGGGCAAGCGUUGUCCGGAUUUACUGGGCGUAAAGAGCUCGUAGGCGGUUUACCAAGUCAGAAGUGAAACUUCCAGGCUCAACCUGGAGCAGCCUUUUGAAACUGGUAUGACUUGAGUACGGUAGAGGAGUGUGGAAUUUCUGGUGUAGCGGUGAAAUGCGCAGAUAUCAGAAGGAACACCUAUGGCGAAGGCAGCACUCUGGGCCGAAACUGACGCUGAGGAGCGAAAGCGUGGGGAGCGAACAGGAUUAGAUACCCUGGUAGUCCACGCCGUAAACGUUGGAUACUAGGUGUGGGGUUCGAUCAACGGACUCCGUGCCGAAGUUAACGCAUUA